CUUCUCUGCCCACUUGAAGUCAAAGUUUCCCCUCCAAAGUUGCAAUAUGAUCUAUGCUGUCGGUCCCUCUGUCUGAUUGUCUCAUCGGUUGUUCUUUCCAGCACUGGGGUCACAGACAAGUGCCACUAAAGCCUGCCAACAUUUGGACUUUUAUGAGACUCUCAUCAGUACACUUACCUGCUUCUGACUUAGUCCAAAAGAUAUCUUGGGGACAAAUGGAUAUAAUACAGUUUUGGAGUUGAACCAAGAUGAACCAAUACCAAGCUGAUUGAGCAAGGUACCAGAUUAUACUUCAACAAAACUAAUGCUCAUUCUGACCUUUAAUCCAUGCUUGGUAGCCACUGUGAACAUUUUUAUCUAAUCUGUUCGUCUCUGCAAACAGUUUCAGAAGGAUGUGCCAACAUCUAUGGAGUUGACAGACAGAUGCUGCAAGCAGAUCACAGUGCAGAUCACAGACCAGUAAUCUGGGAGCCGUGUCCAGUGGAGGAAUUUUUACCACCGUCUGAGAUCCAGGAAAGAAUUCAGAAAACCUUUGAGGUGAUAUGGUCAUUGGAUAAAAGGAAACUGCAUCCUAGAUUCUCAGAGUGGAAAGUUCUCAAUACAAACCUAACAUGGAUGUUCACUCUACUAUACAGAUCUACUAAGAAAGAUUUGACCACAGAGAAUGACUUGAGGUUGAUACAGCUCAAAGUCACUGACUAAUCAAGAUGACGGAUGGACUAUUACAAAAGAACAGAAGUUAAAUCACUCCACAGAGGACGACUGUGUUAAUUCCUUCUCACUAUUCAUCAUUCCUCCCUCUGGCCUGCUGUGCUUUUCUACUCAUCUUCAUGACUCAAGAU
ensembl:lncRNA